GGUCUAUCAAGUGAUUUGAUUCCAGUGGAGCUUGGUGAUUUCUCCACACUGCAGAACUUGUAUUUAAGUAAGAAUCCAAUUGACAGCUUACCAGAUAGCAUCAAGAAGCUUACCAAUCUCCAGGUACUUGAGUUAGAGAAGUGCCAAGAACUUAAGUAUCUUUCAGAGAUUCCAGCCAGUGUCACAACGUUGAGCAUCUACGGAUGCAGGUCAAUCGAGC
rnacentral:misc_RNA from 1 species